UCCCUGGUGGCUCAGCUGGUAAAGAAUCUGCCUGCAAUGCAGAAGACCUGGGUUUGAUCCCUGGAUUGGGAA
rnacentral:tRNA from 1 species